AGUGAACGCUGGCGGUAGGCCUAACACAUGCAAGUCGAACGGCAGCACAGUAAGAGCUUGCUCUUACGGGUGGCGAGUGGCGGACGGGUGAGGAGUACAUCGGAAUCUACUUUUUCGUGGGGGAUAACGUAGGGAAACUUACGCUAAUACCGCAUACGACCUACGGGUGAAAGCAGGGGAUCUUCGGACCUUGCGCGAAUGAAUGAGCCGAUGUCGGAUUAGCUAGUUGGCGGGGUAAAGGCCCACCAAGGCGACGAUCCGUAGCUGGUCUGAGAGGAUGAUCGGCCACACUGGAACUGAGACACGGUCCAGACUCCUACGGGAGGCAGCAGUGGGGAAUAUUGGGCAAUGGGCGCAAGCCUGAUCCAGCCAUACCGCGUGGGUGAAGAAGGCCUUCGGGUUGUAAAGCCCUUUUGUUGGGAAAGAAAAGCAGCAGGUUAAUACCCCGCUGUUCUGACGGUACCCAAAGAAUAAGCACCGGCUAACUUCGUG
rnacentral:rRNA from 1 species